UUUCGGAUCGUAAAGCUCUGUUGUUAGGGAAGAACAAGUGCAAGAGUAACUGCUUGCACCUUGACGGUACCUAACCAGAAAGCCACGGCUAACUACGUGCCAGCAGCCGCGGUAAUACGUAGGUGGCAAGCGUUGUCCGGAAUUAUUGGGCGUAAAGGGCUCGCAGGCGGUUUCUUAAGUCUGAUGUGAAAGCCCCCGGCUCAACCGGGGAGGGUCAUUGGAAACUGGGAAACUUGAGUGCAGAAGAGGAGAGUGGAAUUCCACGUGUAGCGGUGAAAUGCGUAGAGAUGUGGAGGAACACCAGUGGCGAAGGCGACUCUCUGGUCUGUAACUGACGCUGAGGAGCGAAAGCGUGGGGAGCGAACAGGAUUAGAUACCCUGGUAGUCCACGCCGUAAACGAUGAGUGCUAAGUGUUAGGGGGUUUCCGCCCCUUAGUGCUGCAGCUAACGCAUUAAGCACUCCGCCUGGGGAGUACGGUCGCAAGACUGAAACUCAAAGGAAUUGACGGGGGCCCGCACAAGCGGUGGAGCAUGUGGUUUAAUUCGAAGCAACGCGAAGAACCUUACCAGGUCUUGACAUCCUCUGACAACCCUAGAGAUAGGGCUUUCCCUUCGGGGACAGAGUGACAGGUGGUGCAUGGUUGUCG
rnacentral:rRNA from 1 species